AUCUGGUUGAUUUUAUUGAUCUUGUUGCUAUCACAUUUCUAAUUUUCUACUUAAAUCAAAUCAUCUUCUCUUGGAUACAAGGCAUUCUCUCAUUGUCUCUGGCAGCGGCGGCGAUCUUUGCUUCUCUGCACUUGUUGUCGACGGUCACAUGGAAUUAAAAAGAGUAUUUCUAGAUAUGUUUCAAAGAAGUGUAUGUUUAGAUACUAAAAAAUGUUAGAUACUUUUUGAAAGAAGAGUAUGUUUAGAUACUUUAUCACAGAAGAAUAUCAUCGAUACUCUUUUUAUAAAUUAUAAGGUGUUAUUCAAUACUUUCUUGAAUAUGGUUGUAUCACUGAAUAUAUUUUUAGAUUAUAGUAGUGGCAAUACAUUGUUCUAUAUUAUUUUUAACAAAGUUUGUUCUAUAUUUUCUCGGUACAAAUAUAUUUCAUACUACUACUACAGUAUUAUAAUUUUUUUCUCAGAGUACUCGGCGA
rnacentral:lncRNA from 1 species